AGCAUAUCAAUAAGCGGAGGAAAAGAAACCCCCAGGGAUUGCCCUAGUAACGGCGAGUGAAGCGGCAACAGCUCAAAUUUGAAAUCUGGCUCUCUUUGGGGGUCCGAGUUGUAAUUUGCAGAGGAUGCUUUGGCAUUGGGCGGCGGUCUAAGUUCCUUGGAACAGGACAUCACAGAGGGUGAGAAUCCCGUACGUGGUCGCCUGCCCUUGCCGUGUAAAGCUCCUUCGACGAGUCGAGUUGUUUGGGAAUGCAGCUCUAAAUGGGAGGUAAAUUUCUUCUAAAGCUAAAUACUGGCCAGAGACCGAUAGCGCACAAGUAGAGUGAUCGAAAGAUGAAAAGUACUUUGGAAAGAGAGUCAAAAAGCACGUGAAAUUGUUGAAAGGGAAGCGCUUGCAGCCAGACUUGCCCGCAGUUGCUCACCUAGGCUUUCGCCUGGGGCACUCUUCUGCGGGCAGGCCAGCAUCAGUUUGGGCGGUUGGAUAAAGGCCUCUGUCACGUAUCUCCCUUCGGGGUGGCCUUAUAGGGGAGGCGCAAUGCAACCAGCCCGGACUGAGGUCCGCGCAUCUGCUAGGAUGCUGGCGUAAUGGCUGUAAGCGGCCCGUCUUGAAACACGGACCAAGGAGUCUAACAUCUAUGCGAGUGUUUGGGUGUCAAGCCCAAGCGCGCAAUGAAAGUGAACGGAGGUGGGAACCCUUUGGGUGCACCAUCGACCGAUCCUGAUGUCUUCGGAUGGAUUUGAGUAAGAGCAUAGCUGUUGGGACCCGAAAGAUGGUGAACUAUGCUUGAAUAGGGUGAAGCCAGAGGAAACUCUGGUGGAGGCUCGCAGCGGUUCUGACGUGCAAAUCGAUCGUCAAAUUUGGGCAUAGGGGCGAAAAACUAAUCGAACCAUCUAGUAGCUGGUUCCUGCCGA
rnacentral:rRNA from 1 species